CAGCAGCCGCGGUAAUACGGAGGAUCUGAGCGUUAUCCGGAUUUAUUGGGUUUAAAGGGAGCGUAGGUGGACUGGUAAGUCAGUUGUGAAAGUUUGCGGCUCAACCGUAAAAUUGCAGUUGAUACUGUUAGUCUUGAGUACAGUAGAGGUGGGCGGAAUUCGUGGUGUAGCGGUGAAAUGCUUAGAUAUCACGAAGAACUCCGAUUGCGAAGGCAGCUCACUGGACUGCAACUGACACUGAUGCUCGAAAGUGUGGGUAUCAAACAGGAUUAGAUACCCUGGUAGUCCACACAGUAAACGAUGAAUACUCGCUGUUUGCGAUAUACAGUAAGCGGCCAAGCGAAAGCAUUAAGUAUUCCACCUGGGGAGU
rnacentral:rRNA from 1 species